AUACUAACCUGGUGCAGGGGAUACCGCGAUCACCGAGGCGGUUCCCUCGGGCACGAGGCCCAUCGGUCGAGCCCUGUAAGUACUCCUAACGUGGGUAUUUGUGGGUUCAAUUUUUGGUAAGGUGGGGUUGGGUGGAUUCGCGCGGCCCCGCG